AAGCCAGGUCACAACAGAAGUCAAAAUAAUGCAAGGUAUAGACUGGUACAAGUACAGACUAGAGACCAUACAAAGGCAUAGCUGACCUGUCUCUGAGUGUUUAAACAGCCUUCUUAUUAGUUAUCUCUGCUAAAUGGCACUAAGUGGCAACUAGUAAGUCAUGUGAUCAGACCCUAACAGAAUAAACCUCUAUGGUAACGGGAGUGGUUCAAUAGGUGAAUUCUUAUAUUCUUAAAUGUAGUAUAAGCCUGGUUCUUUUUUGAUUUUCAAAAUAUUUAAACAAAACUAUUUUUCUAUCAAAGAUAUGUAUGCAAGUUGUAUUCACUAAUAUGUGAGUUGUUUGCAAAGCAUGCAGUUUGAAAUAUUAUUUGUUUCAUGUGAAACCAUUCAAUUCAAUGAAAACUUGCACUUCCAGGAUUCAAAGAAUGAAAACAAUUGAGGGACUUGCCCAUACAGAAAUGAUUUGCAAAGCCUCAUUUUGACCAAAGGAAAAGGCUGCCAAGAAAAAAAAGCUAACAAUAAACAAUGCAAAAAUGUAAAUAAA